UUCAAAUAUCUGACAGAUUUCCUGACACAACAAUGAAUUUACGUUCACCGAAUACAGAUUUCUUACAAGAAUUUAGAGCCAUCAACAAAAAUAAGGCCAAACAUCUAUCUAUCAAGCUGGCGAAUCGAAUGUAUGAUGAAUAUCCUGAAAUUAGCUCUGAAGUUAAAAUGCAAAAUUCAUCAUUCCAGAUAAUGAAGAAAACGGGAAUUAAACAGUAUGGUCACCAAAAAUCAGAUGCAACAACUUAUCAUGAAAUAGAAUCGAUUAUGUUGUAUAAAAACAAGGAAAAAAAUUAUGAUCUUUUAGAAAGACCUGGAUCAUCAAAUCCAUUCAAGGUUUAUUUUCUCGAUCAAAAAUUUAAUUGAUCCAACUAUGAAUAAACAUCAAGUUGCCAAACAGGCGAAAAUUUUACUAGAAAUUGAUAAAGCUCAUAAGGAUAGAAGUCCGACUCUGUCAGCUUCAAUUUUUUUCCUCGAAAACUGAAAAUUUUUACAUGACUAUAAUGUCUCAUUCGGAUGACAGCAACAACGAAUUGAGUUUGUGUUGGGUACCACACGAGGCUGAGCCGAGAGAAAUAAGUUAUGGUCUCAUGAUAAAUCUUUUGUUAGCGUGGAUGAAGAAUACACUUACGAAGAUAAGGAAGAGGGGGUUGCAUUCAUCGAACGACAUCUCCGUGUAAUUCUCCCAAGGCGAAUUAUCAAUCGAUACAAAAGAUGAUUCUAAAGAAUCAAAAACGUUGAGUAGAAUUGUAAAAAGGACAAUGGGAAUUACGGAUGAACGCGAAUUGCGCGAUCGAUGGAAAGCUUUUGAUGAAGUACCUGGGCCUAUCACGCGGACUACUUUCGAUGUAUACCUUAAAAGUUCAUGGCGGUUGGAAUGCGAGCGAGUUGAAGAUGGAAACAACAAAAUGCAAUAUAACAAAAAAUUAUCCGAUUUCAAAAUAGAGAAAUGUGCGUGUACAGUAUCGAAAUAUUUAUUAGUUAUCGAUUGGAUAAAUCGUGAGGAUUAUUACAGAAAUUAAAGAAAAAAUAUGCAAUUGUCAAUCCGGAACGCAAAUAUUGCGGUGGGAUAUCGAAAAGCUCCUUCUGCUAUCUCUUGUUGGAUGCAAGAUUGACACAAGCUUUGCCACAUUGUGGUUAUGAUUCGACGAUAGAGGAACGAUGGCAUCGUUUUUUCAAAG